UUCCCAUGGAGGAGCCAUGGUUUGCAUUUAUGUCACACACCACACAACUUGCACAGCUUAAUCAACACUGAUUACCAAGUGAGUGCAAGAUGAAAGGUUCAAAACCACAUGGUGGGAGGCAGGCAGCUGGGCUACAUCUACCACAACGUCCGGCACGGAUCUGCAUAGACCUGGUAAGUCCCGCCCCUUCCGCUAACCCCGCUGGACCUCUAGGUUGAAAAAUCAUUAACGCAAGUGUCACAGUGCAAAGUAUCAUGUUUCACGUUUGUAGUGUUUUAAUGCAUUUAUUUGUGUCCUGUGUGCUGUGUUUUGUUUUGCUUUGACGUGUGGACUUUGAUAUUCCCGUCACGGCUGUCCCAAAUCAAACUGACAAUUAACAAAGACUCAAAAACUCACAAUCGAACCUAUAGGAAGGGGGCUACUUAAUUUAAUGAGGGGGAACAGGUGUGUGGGAGUUUUUCUCCCUAUAUUUGCAGGAUCGACAGACACAGAGCAGGUAUCAAGUCAGGCGGAGAACUGCAAAAGACACAGUGGCCGAGCCAGAGGUGGCCGAGCCAGAGGUGGCCUACCCAGCCGGACACACAGCAGAGCAGUUCCAGGAUUUCGGCAUCCACGCAAAAGCUAUAUUCCGGGUGGCAGAUUUGGUCUGCACCCGGCAAUGUGAGUAGCUCCUUUUUGCCUCGAACAACAUAACGUGUGUUAGUAGUGGUAGUUUGCUCCGUACUGCCCAAAGUCUCCCUUGUUUCAGCUGAGCGAUUGCAUCGCUGCUGGUGAUCGGGUGGAGAGCUGAGUAGCCUGUGGAGGACUUACGGGAAGGCAGUGAGUUGUGAGGACUGCUUCCCUGAGAACACUGAGUGCAUUCUGGAAUAUUCCAAAUGUGUGCCACUUCCAUACAGAAGAAGUUUCAAUCCCGCAAGAGUUCACUCACCAGUGGGCUCCAUCAACAGACCAGGGCAAAGUCGGUCUGUCCUGCUGCUACUACUACAUGCUACUUGACUAUGUCUGGAAGCCAUGGCUGCUGCCCUCAACAUGCUAAACUGAAACCCUUACAAAUAAACUGAUAUCAAUAAUUAACAUUGAUGGUGGCAAGGGUGCCUUCAUAAGGUGCCAUCCAGCAAGUCCCAGCCUGGAGCCAGAGGCUGGCACUGCACGUCAGAUGGGGGGAGGAUCUAUGUCAGAAAGGUGGUUUAAGCAAGAAGGAAAGAGCUUCUGCAGACAGUGUUGCAAUUAGAAGAGUACGGACAAGGGCCCAAAAUGUUUUAAAGGACGUUGCCCGCCCAGACCAUGGACUGUUUAAACCACUGUGGUCAAGCAGAAGUCUCUGUUCUCACUCGAGGCAGGUCAUUGAGAGGGGGCGAGUGUCACUGCGUAAGCCCCCUACUGCAGGCGAGAAAGCCAUGUUGAUUUGAAUAUUGAUUGAUAAAUACAAUAAAGGCCAUGUAACAAA